GAAAACCUCAUGAAAAAAUGAUAGUUCCAAGUAUGUUUUUGACUGUUAUCUGUUGCCUAUUCGUUUACAGGCUACAAGCCUACUGAGACAUGAAUUUGCUACAAAAGUAAAAAAGUAUCAAAAUUCUUUUAACCAAGAGCUCAAUCAUGUUCAAAAUAGUAGGACGAACUUGUAGGAAAUCAAUAAUAAAGCAGCUGAUAAAUUCAAAAUAAUGUCUAAAAUCACAACAAAUCAACUUAUAGCUCCAUGUAAAAAGCAAAAAUUUCAGUUCUUGGCCCUAACAGAAUUGUUUUCCUUGAUCCGAGCUCGGGUAUCCAGCUUGACAAAACGUUUGAGGUCAUAAAUAAAAAUAAUUUUUCUACUCAGUUUUAACACUCUAUAGAAUACAAUUUUAUGUUAAUAAUGAUUUUAUUGUCUCAUCUAAAAGUUAUACGCACCUCCCUCCAACUUAAAAACACCACAAACGAUGAACAAAUAAAGAAAAGAUGAUAAAAAAAAAAAUUGUAAGUGAAUAAUUAAAUCUUAAAAUUCGAAAGUAAAUAAUUAGUUAUAUUGUUAAUAUUUUUUAUUUUUAAAAAAGAAUAAUAAACUUUUACAAAGAAAACACACAAAGUUAUAAUAUGUCGAGGGUAUUUUUGUAAAUAAGUAAUAUUUUUUUUAAAAUAUAACAAUACAUAUUGUUUUCAAUACAUCAAACCAUAAAAAAUAAUUCAAAUAUUACUAAUCCUUGCACACUAAUCCCAGUAUUACUAAUACAACCUAUUUAAUAUUAUCUUAUACACUCUACCCUUAAAGUUAAAAAAGAAUCACAGUUAGUAACAUGAAUAGAAAGACAAAGAACUAUGAUAGUAAUGCUACUAGCACACUAUUCUAUAUUUAAAAACGCGUUGAAACUUAUUGAACUCGCGAAUUAAACAUGAUCUUUUAGACUUUUUAUAUUAUUUUAUAAUAUGGAUUUUAUGCAAAACGUUGUGCGUGUGUGUGAAUGGUAUAAAGUUGCGAAAUCAACUUUUAGGUUGGCUUCUAAUUGUUACUAAACAAUUAUCAUAAUUAUUUAUUCUAACUAUGGUUGAUCGUCAUCAAUAAUCUCAACGUGUUUCUUGUUAUCUUUAAUAUUUUAUUUGUUUGAAAGCUUGGAUUAGGUUAACAAAAGAACCAAGUGCUAAUUCACACAUAUGGGUCAAGAUUCGAAAGUUUCGGGUGUCAUCUUAUUUUGAAUAAUAACGUAUACUCUGUAUGAUAUUUUAGGAUAGUGAAAUCAAUAUUUAAAGAGUAAACUAUAAUUAUAUAUAUCUAACAAGUAUCAGUAUUACAUGAAGGCUUGCCUAAUUGGUAUUGUCAAGUGCUUAGUAAAGAAGAGGUCAUAGGUUCUAUUCUUCAUAGCCGCCACCCCAUACCUUUUACAUAGAUCCGCCCCUGCAUGAAAUUAAAAGUUUUCCUUUUGGUUUCACACCCUUAAUUAGUUGGUAUUCAUAUUGAAGUCGAUUAAAUAUAAAUUUACAUAGAGAUACAGAUAAUUCAACCUUGAGACCUAUAAAAGAAAGAAUACUUACUGUUUUGCCACUGUAACCCUUGUUAGUAUGGUCUAUGAAUAUAAAAGUUGUUCUUGUAUCUUUCCCUUAAUACUCUUGUAAAAACCAUUCCGGUGAUUUAUGAAGAAUUAAUCCUUUCGAAAAAGUUGUUUGAUUUGAACGCUUUCAACUAUCAACACGUUAUUCUUAAGGAAGAACGAGUUAAUUGAGCUAGUGAUCUCCCAAAUGGAAGAUCUGUCGAAUCAAUUUGCCUAGUAUGAUCUACUUCUUCAAUAUGAUUUACGGGCUAUUACACUGGAGCAAGAUUGUGAAUCCCUCGUCAACACCAACUAAGACAAAACUCUCAACACCUAAUAAAAAUACUGCAACUUGACAAACAAAAUAAAAAUUAAUUGUGUUGUCUUUGCAAUUGCAUAGUUAUCAUUUUUUUUUACCUCACCUUAUUAGUACAUAACUUAUGGACAUAUUAAACCAGGAUUAAAAAAAAAAUUAAUAAUAUUUCGCAAGUUUGACGCCUCAACUAUAAGUUGUUCUUUUUUUUCCGACAUGAAGUAUCUUAUAGUUCCUUUUUUUUCCGACAUGAAGUAUCACUAUUUAUGUAUUAAAACGCACCUCGAUGUUGGCCAUGCCAACUAUCAGUCGUUCCCUUAUCCUAUCUGAACUAUCACCGUCUAUUCAACUAGAUGUGUUUUAAUACGUAGAUCAUGAUCCUUCAAAUAGAAAAAUAAGUAGGUAGAAAAGAAAAACAACUGGUUGUUGUGAUAUGAAAACCUCAUGAAAAAAUGAUAGUUCCAAGUAUGUUUUUGACUGUUAUCUGUUGCCUAUUCGUUUACAGGCUACAAGCCUACUGAGACAUGAAUUUGCUACAAAAGUAAAAAAGUAUCAAAAUUCUUUUAACCAAGAGCUCAAUCAUGUUCAAAAUAGUAGGACGAACUUGUAGGAAAUCAAUAAUAAAGCAGCUGAUAAAUUCAAAAUAAUGUCUAAAAUCACAACAAAUCAACUUAUAGCUCCAUGUAAAAAGCAAAAAUUUCAGUUCUUGGCCCUAACAGAAUUGUUUUCCUUGAUCCGAGCUCGGGUAUCCAGCUUGACAAAACGUUUGAGGUCAUCGUAAGGGAGAGACUCGAGAUCUUUCCUCCUUAGUUCACUAAGUGCCGGGCGUUUAUCCAGCAAGUGCCAUAGCCAAUCGGGGUAUUCUGAGUCGGGCAACACUUUUGGAUCGACUCCAUCCUUGAGAAUAUUUGCACCGACUAC
rnacentral:lncRNA from 1 species